CCCUUAGAUGUCCUGGGCCGCACGCGCGCUACACUGAACGGAUCAGCGCGUUUUCCCUUCCCGAGAGGGACGGGUAACCUGCUGAACCCCGUUCGUGGUAGGGAUCGGGGCUUGCAAUUAUUCCCCGUGAACCAGGAAUGCCCAGUAAGUGCAAGUCAUAAGCUUGCGUUGAUUACGUCCCUGCCCUUUGUACACGCCGCCCGUCGCUACUACCGAUUGAACGUUUUAGUGAGGUACUCGGACUGAGCCUCAGAAGAUUCACGUCUUUUGUGCUGCUCGGGAAGAUUCCCAAACUUGAGCGUUUAGAGGAAGUAAAAGUCGUAACA
rnacentral:rRNA from 1 species